UGCACUGGCGGCUGCUAUAAUGCAGUCGAGCGGAUUGAUGGGAGCUUGCUCCCUGAAAUCCAGCGGCGGACGGGUGAGUAACACGUGGGUAACCUGCCUGUAAGACUGGGAUAACUCCGGGAAACCGGGGCUAAUACCGGAUAGUUCUUUUCCUCGCAUGAGGAAAAGUGGAAAGGCGGCUUCGGCUGCCACUUACAGAUGGACCCGCGGCGCAUUAGCUAGUUGGUGAGGUAACGGCUCACCAAGGCAACGAUGCGUAGCCGACCUGAGAGGGUGAUCGGCCACACUGGGACUGAGACACGGCCCAGACUCCUACGGGAGGCAGCAGUAGGGAAUCUUCCGCAAUGGACGAAAGUCUGACGGAGCAACGCCGCGUGAGUGAUGAAGGUUUUCGGAUCGUAAAGCUCUGUUGUUAGGGAAGAACAAAGUGCCGUUCGAAAUAGGGCGGCACCUUUGACGGUACCCUAAACCAGAAAGCCACGGCUAACUACGUGCCAGCAGCCGCGGUAAUACGUAGGUGGGCAAGCGUUUGUCCCGGAAUUAUUGGGGCGUAAAGCGCGCGCAGGGCGGUCUCUUAAGUCUGAUGUGAAAGCCCCACGGCUCAACCGUGGGAGGGUCAUUUGGAGAACUGGGGGGACUUGAGUACAGAAGAGGAAGAAGUGGAAAUUCCCACGUGUAGCGGGUGAAAUGCGUUAGAUAUGGUGGGAGGGAAACACCCAGGUUGGCGAAUGCGGACUUUUUCCUGGUCCUGGUUAACUUGACGCUUGAGGCGCCGGAAAGCGUGGGGGGGGAGCCAAACCAGGCAUUAGAUUACCCCUGGUAGUUCCCACCGCCGUAAAACCGAUGGAGCUGACUAAGGAUGACUAAGAGAGGACUUUUCCGGCCCGUUUACUGGCCUGGGCA
rnacentral:rRNA from 1 species